rnacentral:rRNA from 1 species
AACGAACGCUGGCGGCAGGCUUAACACAUGCAAGUCGAGCGCCCCGCAAGGGGAGCGGCAGACGGGUGAGUAACGCGUGGGAAUCUACCCAUCUCUACGGAAUAACGCAUGGAAACGUGUGCUAAUACCGUAUACGUCCUUCGGGAGAAAGAUUUAUCGGAGAUGGAUGAGCCCGCGUUGGAUUAGCUAGUUGGUGGGGUAAAGGCCUACCAAGGCGACGAUCCAUAGCUGGUCUGAAAGGAUGAUCAGCCACACUGGGACUGAGACACGGCCCAGACUCCUACGGGAGGCAUCAGUGGGGAAUAUUGGACAAUGGGCGCAAGCCUGAUCCAGCCAUGCCGCGUGAGUUAUGAAGGCCCUAGGGUUGUAAAGCUCUUUCACCGGUGAAGAUAAUGACGGUAACCGGAGAAGAAGCCCCGGCUAACUUCGUGCCAGCCGCCGCAGUAAUAC